CGAAAUCGUGUAGACGCUACGGACUUAAAAUCCGUUGGCUU
rnacentral:tRNA from 1 species